UGGCGUAGUGGUCACUGCGCUCGCCUUUCACGCAGGAGACCCGGGUUCGAUUCCCGG
rnacentral:tRNA from 1 species